CCUACGGGGGGCAGCAGUGGGGAAUAUUGGGCAAUGGGCGCAAGCCUGACCCAGCAACGCAGCGUGAAGGAAGAAGGCUUUCGGGUUGUAAACUUCUUUUAAGGGGGAAGAGCAGAAGACGGUACCCCUUGAAUAAGCCACGGCUAACUACGUGCCAGCAGCCGCGGUAAUACGUAGGUGGCAAGCGUUGUCCGGAUUUACUGGGUGUAAAGGGCGUGCAGCCGGAGAGACAAGUCAGAUGUGAAAUCCACGGGCUCAACCCGUGAACUGCAUUUGAAACUGUUUCCCUUGAGUGUCGGAGAGGUAAUCGGAAUUCCUUGUGUAGCGGUGAAAUGCGUAGAUAUAAGGAAGAACACCAGUGGCGAAGGCAGCUUACUGGACUGUAACUGACGUUGAGGCUCGAAAGCGUGGGGAGCAAACGGGAUUAGAUACCCUUGUAGUC
rnacentral:rRNA from 1 species